GGCAGUUCUGGGGUGAGGCACCCUGGAAUUGGGAUCCCUCCUCUCUAGUUCCAGGUGUGUCACUCUAGAACAGGG
rfam:Myotis davidii contig62700, whole genome shotgun sequence.